rnacentral:rRNA from 1 species
UACGGAGGAUCCUAGUGUUAUCCGGAUUUAUUGGGUUUAAAGGGAGCGUAGGCGGGAGGUCAAGUCAGCUGUGAAAUGUAUCUGCUUAACGGGUACACUGCAGUUGAAACUGGUUUUCUUGAGUGCGUAAGAGGCAGGCGGAAUUCGUUGUGUAGCGGUGAAAUGCUUAGAUAUGACGAGGAACUCCUAUUGCGAAGGCAGCUUGCUGGGUCGUUACUGACGCUGAUGCUCGAAGGUGCGGGGAUCAAACAGGAUUAGAUACCCGU